rnacentral:rRNA from 1 species
CGAACGCUGGCGGCGUGCUUAACACAUGCAAGUCGAACGGAAAGGCCCUUCGGGGUACUCGAGUACGGGUGAGUAACACGUGGGUGAUCUGCCCUGCACUUUGGGAUAAGCCUGGGAAACUGGGUCUAAUACCGGAUAUACCUCAUGGACUGCAUGGUUUGUGGGGGAAAGCUUUUGCGGUGUGGGAUGGGCCCGCGGCCUAUCAGCUUGUUGGUGAGGUUAUGGCUUACCAAGGCGACGACGGGUAGCCGGCCUGAGAGGGUGACCGGCCACACUGGGACUGAGAUACGGCCCAGACUCCUACGGGAGGCAGCAGUGGGGAAUAUUGCACAAUGGGCGCAAGCCUGAUGCAGCGACGCCGCGUGAGGGAUGACGGCCUUCGGGUUGUAAACCUCUUUCAGCAGGGACGAAGCGCAAGUGACGGUACCUGUAGAAGAAGGACCGGCCAACUACGUGCCAGCAGCCGCGGUAAUACGUAGGGUCCGAGCGUUGUCCGGAAUUACUGGGCGUAAAGAGCUCGUAGGUGGUUUGUCGCGUUGUUCGUGAAAACUCACAGCUCAACUGUGGGCGUGCGGGCGAUACGGGCAGACUUGAGUACUGCAGGGGAGACUGGAAUUCCUGGUGUAGCGGUGGAAUGCGCAGAUAUCAGGAGGAACACCGGUGGCGAAGGCGGGUCUCUGGGCAGUAACUGACGCUGAGGAGCGAAAGCGUGGGGAGCGAACAGGAUUAGAUACCCUGGUAGUCCACGCCGUAAACGGUGGGUACUAGGUGUGGGUUUCCUUCCUUGGGAUCCGUGCCGUAGCUAACGCAUUAAGUACCCCGCCUGGGGAGUACGGCCGCAAGGCUAAAACUCAAAGAAAUUGACGGGGGCCCGCACAAGCGGCGGAGCAUGUGGAUUAAUUCGAUGCAACGCGAAGAAC